CCCUGGGUGAUAUAAGUGGUUAACAUGUUUGGCUGCUAACCAAAAGGUUAGUGGUUCUAGUCCACCCAGAGG
rnacentral:tRNA from 1 species